rnacentral:lncRNA from 1 species
UUUCGCAUACCAUUCACACCCAGUUUUAACCGGUCACUAGCAUAACAAGUCACAAAAGGACUUAGACAACUUAAAUCGCCCACAAUCUCUAAAGCUACAACUAAAACAGCACUUAAUCCAUCAAGCAGCAGCACCAUCAUUCAGGAGCAUCUGAUCAAAAUGCCAAACACCUGAAAUUGGAAUACGGUUACUAUUUUUGAAGACUAUGAACAACGCUUCAGCCGCAUCAGCAUAUUUCUGGCGAGCAAUAGACUGUUGAGGAACCGAAGGUACAAGAUUAAGUUCUUUCUUCACCUCCUCAAACGGCUCAAAGACAACCCCAGCAAGUGGGGCAUGGUUUGAAGACCCACCCUUCGUCGCCGCACAGACGACGGUGGACGGCGGCAGAGACCGGUACUGGGUUUCAUUGGAGGUGGGUCGGGUCAAGAAAGAGAGAGUGGGUGGGGCUCUGAGGAGCAUUGUAGUUAGAGGAAUUGUGAGGUUAUGGAACAGGGGAAAUGAAGGGUUUUGAGUGAGUGAUGAAGAAGAUGAUGAUUGGGUGGGUAUAUAGGGAUUUAGUGAGGGAUUGGAGCCGUUGGAUGAGGGACACGUGGAGGGGUGAGAUUGAGGAGGAGGAGUGGCGUGUGGUUGGCUUGUGGUGUAUCUGGAUAUUUUGUUUUUUGGGGUUUUGUGGUGCGGAAUCCGAUAUUGCCUUGAUUGAGACUAGGAAUGGCAAGCUUGGGCCGGGUAUUGAUAAUCUUACGCCCGUAUCCGGUUAUAAUUCUUUGUGCUAUACUUGGCCCGUUAUUUGUUGGAUAUUUUUUGGGUAAUUAUCCGUCAGGUAUCGGGCAUAUCCACAGGUAUCAGGUAUACCUAUUAAUUUCUUAAAAAUACCCGUUGGGACAAAUGUGCAAUUUUUACUUUGUUGUUUAUAUAAUUUACUAUUUUAAAGAGUAUAACAAAUGAAAAUAUGGUUAAUAACUUACAUAUCACAUUCAAACCACAUAUACUAAACUAAAUUAAAACGAUUACUUAAUUAAGUAAUUGUAUUAGGACCAUCUAAUUGCAUAAAACAUCCACAUAAUAAAGGGUGAUAGAUUCCAUAUUCAAUAUAUAUGCUUAAAAAUAAGUUAUAUGUUCACUAAACACUUGCCAAAUACAUAUCCACAUAUGACUAUAGAGAAGGUAAUAAGUACAUGUAUUAAGUUUAUAUAUAUGGAAAUCUAUAAUAUGAUACUUUCGGGUAUUAUUCGGCCCAUACCAUUGGGCUUCGGGUAUACAUGGCCCGUAUGUUUCGGGUUUUGGGUAUACCCGUCGGGCUUGGGUUUUUUUGCCAUCCCUAAUUGAGACUCAUGAUCAAACGAGAGGAGGGUUUUUUCCCCAAAUAAUAAAAUCGCACUUUAAUAAAUAACUAGGAUUUUUUAACGGUAAAUUUAGAUUAUGACGAACCACUAGAGUAUUAUCAUGGCAUGAGUGAAACCACCCGAUAUAUAUACACCAAUUCAGGAGAAAACCCAAUAAAUAUGGGAAAGCCCUCUUUGUGGGAAUCAAACCCAGACCUAUUGGUUCCAGAGUUUUAUCCUACCUCCAAGAUGCCAUUAGGCUAUAAAGUCAUGGGCAAUAAAUUACUAGUACUUUCAAUUUUCUACCUAAUUUGGUUUUAUUUAUUUUUUCACUAAAAAUUUUCAUAAAAAUUUAAUAUGGCGGUUUGUUUAGUUUAGACAACAUGGCGUGGGCGUCGUUUAGUGGCGUUUAUGCCUUUCUACGCCGCACACACCAACCUGGGAACGGUGUUGUAAGUGGCGUUGUGUGUGGGGCGGACCAUUUUCCACCAGCGUUGAGGCAAUGGUUGGGUCGACGUAACGUGCGUCUAUUGGCGCAGCUAAUACCCGUUGGACCCCAAAGUCA